rnacentral:lncRNA from 1 species
CCCCCACUCUGAUGGUCUCCACCUUUACCUUCAGACUUCAGGAUUCCAUGCUCAGGCAGCUCUGUAAGGAAUGCUUUAGACCUGGAAAAUUCUAACUCAUCCCUGGACUGCAACACCUCAGCCUUCAGGAAGCCCUCAUCACCUCUUGCCAGCAUUUAGCCCUGGAUGUGAUUCCACAGAAACUGUCCAGCACACAGAAGGUCACACCUCCAUAGGUGUUUACGGAGCCUGGGCACAUUUGGAACAGAGCCCUUGAUGAUUAAAGCGCCUCGGGACAGAAAAGCCAACUGAAACAUUAGUGAAAAUGUAAAAAAGAAAGCAAAACAACAGCAUGGAAGGGAACAGCUCAAGGCAAAAGCCCAGGAAUAUGACUAAAAGCAUCACUUUGUCCCCAGCUUGAGAAGUGACUCUUCACUUUGGGCUCUGCCCUCUUCUGGAUUCCAGCCAACCCAGGACUAGACCAAUUGUCAUCAUCAUUAUUAACUAGUAACAUUAUCCCUGGCCAUUUUGGAUUCAGGCAUACCUGGUUUACAUCUCAGUUCUGCCAGUUCUGGCUGUGUGGCUGGGAUUGGUAAACUAACCUCUCUGUGCCUCAGUGUACUGCUGAGUCCUGGGUAGAGACUAGGCAGAAUAAUGCAAGUGAAGCUAUAAGUUGAAGGCCUGGCA